GCAUCCGUAGCACAGCUGGAUAGAGUACUCGGCUACGAACCGAGCGGUCGGAGGUUCGAAUCCUCCCGGAUGCACCA
rnacentral:tRNA from 1 species